rnacentral:rRNA from 1 species
GACGAACGCUGGCGGCGUGCUUAACACAUGCAAGUCGAACGGAAAGGCCCUGCUUUUGUGGGGUGCUCGAGUGGCGAACGGGUGAGUAACACGUGAGUAACCUGCCCUUGACUUUGGGAUAACUUCUGGAAACUGGGGAUAAUACCGGAUAGGAGCUCCUGCUGCAUGGUGGGGGUUGGUAAGUUUCGGCUGUUGGGGCUGGACUAGCGGCUUAUCAGCUUGUUGGUGGGGUAGUGGAUUACAAAGGCUUUGACGGGUAGCCGGCCUGCGAGGGGGGCCGGCCACAAUGGGACUGAGGUACGGCCCAGUCUGCUACGGUAGGCAGCAGUGGGGAAUAUUGCGCAAUGGGCGGGAGCCUGAGGCAGCAACGCCGCGUGCGGGAUGACGGCCUUCGGGUUGUAAACCGCUGUCGCCUGUGACGAAGCGUGAUUGACGGUAAUGGGUAAAGAAGCACCGGCUAACUACGUG